ensembl:rRNA 5S_rRNA 5S ribosomal RNA
GCCAACAGCCAUAUCACCCUGCAACUCACAACUGGCAGCCUGCUGAAGCUAAGCAGGUGUGAGCCUGGUCAGUACCUGAAUGGGAGACCUCCUGGGAAAAACUAAGGUUGCUGCUGGAA